rnacentral:rRNA from 1 species
AUUGAACGCUGGCGGCAGGCCUAACACAUGCAAGUCGAACGAGUGGCGGACGGGUGAGACAUGUCUGGGAAACAGCCAGAUGGAGGGGGAUACCUACUGGAAACGGUAGAUAAAACCGCAUAGCAUCGGAUGUGACAAGAUGGGAUUAGCCAGUAGGUGGGGUAAAGGCUCACCUAGUCGACGAUCCCUAGCUGGUCUGAGAGGGUGACCGGCCACACUGGAACUGAGACACGGUCCAGACUCCUACGGGAGGCAGCAGUAGGGAAUAUUGCACAAUGGGCGAAAGCCUGAUGCAGCAAUGCCGCGUGUAUGAUGAAGGCCUUCGGGUUGUAAAAUUCUUUCAGCGGGGAGGCGUUACCCGCAGAAGAAGCAACGGCUAACUCCGUGCCAGCAGCCGCGGUAAUUC